rnacentral:ncRNA from 1 species
GAAAGCCGAGUGAUGGGAAACUGUCAUGCUCGGUUUGGUGCGGGGGAAAAGCCGGAGAUAAAAUCAAAGGCUUACCUAUCGCAAU